CCCAUUGCCAACUCCCGCAAACAAACAGCGAACAAUGUCUUGGACGCUCUGCUGCGCUUCCGUAUAGAGAAUGACUUGUGACAAUUUGCACGUGAAGCACGACUUCCACCCGACAAGUAGCAGCUCUGCGGGACUGUAAGGACACUCGAUAAUCACUUUAGCUUGGGAAGAAUCCUAAGUGGAAAAGUGACAGAGGAUACAUCAAGAUGUGGCGGCGCUUUAUAGAGACCGAAACUGUAUCCCGAAGACCAGGCCAGGGCCGACCACCUGUGACUACAGAAGAGAGGACCGCUAUUUGG